rnacentral:tRNA from 1 species
GGGCAUGUGGUGUAGUUGGUUAUCACGCUCGCUUAGCAUUAAUGCUUACUUGCGAGAGGGGUCCGGUUCGAUCCCGGACAUGUCCA